GAUGAACGCUGGCGGCGUGCCUAAUACAUGCAAGUCGAGCGAACGGACGAGAAGCUUGCUUCUCUGAUGUUAGCGGCGGACGGGUGAGUAACACGUGGAUAACCUACCUAUAAGACUGGGAUAACUUCGGGAAACCGGAGCUAAUACCGGAUGAUAUUUUUACCCCCUGGGUUCAAAGGUAAAUACCGUCUUUCUGGUCCCUAUUCGUUGCUCCGCGCUGCAUUGGCUAGUUGGUAAGGUAACGGCUUACCAAGGCAACGAUGCAUAGCCGACCUGAGAGGGUGAUCGGCCACACUGGAACUGAGACGCGGUCCAGACUCCUACGGGAGGCAGCAGUAGGGAAUCUUGCGCAAUGGGCGAAAGCCUGACGGAGCAACGCCGCGUGAGUGAUGAAGGUCUUCGGAUCGUAAAACUCUGUUAUUAGGGAAGAACAUAUGUGUAAGUAACUGUGCACAUCUUGACGGUACCUAAUCAGAAAGCCACGGCUAACUACGUG
rnacentral:rRNA from 1 species